rnacentral:lncRNA from 1 species
GCAGAUAUCCUCCUAUCUUAUGUCGCGACUACCUGAGCCAGCGCUACAAUGACACUCAUGCUGAUUUGAAAAUUUACAAGAAACAACAAUCAUAAUCAUAAGUAGAACUAGUCGGUGUUUCGAGAUGAGCAGCAUAGAGAAUUUUAUUUAUUAGCUUUGUCAAUUUCUUUAAGCUUUUUUAGCUGCAUGAUGUUUUAGGAAUAACAGCAUCAGAUUUUGUUGUAUUAUAUAGGUGUUGUUUAAUAGCAAAAUUAUUUUUUUAGGAGAGGGUGUGGCUUAGCUAUUUGGUUCAGUACUUAUUGUUAAAUCUAAAAGAAAAGCAUAUAUGAAAAAUCAUGCUUUUUAUCAAUAUUCAGUUAUUCAUUCCUAGCAUUAUUAUAAAUCAAAAGCAUUGUAGUUUUCUCUCAAUAUAGUAUUCUUACAUUAUGUGACACAAUAUAAUGUUGAUAUGUGAAGUUAGUUAUUAGUCCCACAA